rnacentral:sRNA from 1 species
CAGCGGUGCAAACCGUGAAGGAUGAGAACCGUAAAGGUUCGAGCCGAGCGAAAGCGAGACAACGUUGCUUUAGCAACGGCCCGAAGGGCGAAGUCAUCCUGCACGACUCACCA